CCUACGGGGGGCAGCAGUGGGGAAUAUUGGACAAUGGGCGAAAGCCUGAUCCAGCCAUGCCGCGUGUGUGAAGAAGGCCUUCGGGUUGUAAAGCACUUUCAGUGGGGAAGAAAGCCUUGGGGCUAAUACCCUCGAGGAAGGACAUCACCCACAGAAGAAGCACCGGCUAACUCCGUGCCAGCAGCCGCGGUAAUACGGAGGGUGCGAGCGUUAAUCGGAAUUACUGGGCGUAAAGCGCGCGUAGGCGGUCUGAUAAGCCGGUUGUGAAAGCCCCGGGCUCAACCUGGGAACGACAUCCGGAACUGUCAGGCUAGAGUGCAGGAGAGGAAGGUAGAAUUCCCGGUGUAGCGGUGAAAUGCGUAGAGAUCGGGAGGAAUACCAGUGGCGAAGGCGGCCUUCUGGACUGACACUGACGCUGAGGUGCGAAAGCGUGGGUAGCAAACAGGAUUAGAUACCCCUGUAGUC
rnacentral:rRNA from 1 species